rnacentral:rRNA from 1 species
CCCUUAGACGUUCUGGGCCGCACGCGCGCUACACUGACCAGUGCAACAAGCAUCCGUCCUUGGCCGACAGGCUCGGGCAAUCUUUGAACGCUGGUCGUGAUGGGGAUAGACUUUUGCAAUUUUUGGUCUUCAACGAGGAAUUCCUAGUAAACGCAAGUCAUCAACUUGCAUUGAUUACGUCCCUGCCCUUUGUACACACCGCCCGUCGCACCUACCGAUUGAAUGGUCCGGUGAAGCCUCCGGAUUGGCGCGCACCCCGGUGCCGCCGAGAAGUUGGUUAAACCUUACCAUUUAGAGGAAGGUGAAGUCGUAACA